GGGCGUUUGGCACAGUGGUAGCGCGCAUGCUUUGCAUUCGGGCAGUUUGCAUGAGGUCGAGGGUUCAAACCCCUCAACGUCCA
rnacentral:tRNA from 1 species